rnacentral:rRNA from 1 species
UACGUAGGGUGCAAGCGUUAUCCGGAAUUAUUGGGCGUAAAGCGCGCGUAGGCGGUUACUUAAGUCGGAUGUGAAAGCCCUCGGCUUAACUGAGGAAGUGCACCCGAAACUGAGUAGCUAGAGUACGAAAGAGGGUCGCGGAAUUCCCGGUGUAGAGGUGAAAUUCGUAGAUAUCGGGAGGAACACCGGUGGCGAAGGCGGCGACCUGGGUCGAGACUGACGCUGAGGCGCGAAAGCGUGGGGAGCAAACAGG